ACCUACAGUCAUAGGCUCUCAUGGCUCCACAUAGCUGCUAACCAGGAGAGUCUGCCACGCCCUGUCUGUUCACCUCACUCUGCCCAGACUUCUGAAGGUGGCCCCUUUAAAGCCUCACUCCGAGUUCAUCAUCUCAGCCGUACAGGCUGGGGACUCCACCUCUCCAACACCAGGUCUGUCACACCCACCCCAAACAGUUGCUCACUGGAAUUGACAGAUCUGAGCAGGCGUUUUGGCAUCCUGUACGUCUGUGGGGAAGGCUUUGGCAUCCAUGUUAUUCCUGCCUGGAAGCUGACUUGAAAACAGGAAGCUCAGAGCUGUACAUGAAGAACGAUGGGACAGAAAUGCACAGAGAACCUGACAGCUCCAGCCAGUGACUGUGCCAGCCCCGGGCUGUUGACCUCCACACUUCUCAUUAUUUGAGAAAAAUGAAGUCCAGCUUAGCAGCUUAAGUCUCCUAUAGUUGAAUUUGCUGUUUUCUGUAACAAAACUUGUUCUUAAAUUACACAAGUAUGAUCCCUGAGAAACACCAUGCAUUUGACAUAUUUCUUUCCUUCUGUUCAUGAAGAACCAUGAA